rnacentral:rRNA from 1 species
UACGUAGGGGGCAAGCGUUGUCCGGAAUCAUUGGGCGUAAAGAGCGUGUAGGCGGCCCGAUAAGUCCGCUGUGAAAGUCCAGGGCUCAACCCUGGAAUGCCGGUGGAAACUGUCGGGCUAGAGUCCGGAAGAGGCGAGUGGAAUUCCUGGUGUAGCGGUGAAAUGCGCAGAUAUCAGGAGGAACACCGAUGGCGAAGGCAGCUCACUGGGACGGUACUGACGCUGAGGCGCGAAAGCGUGGGGAGCAAACAGG